UUGGAGGUUUUCGUCCUGAGCAGUUUGGGGUUGCUGACGCGAGAGGAGUGAGAGAUUUUUUGGAGUGUGUGGAGGCAAAGAAAAAGAGAGGCGCUACAACAGCCCAGAAAAAGACACGAAGACUGAAGUCGGAUUUUGUGUUGCGCCGGCUUCCAAGUCAACACACUUUGAGUCGUACUUUCAGUCCAAUCUGAGUCUCUAACGUGGAAUGUUGCGAGUGUGAAACACCCAUGAGAUUCUCGUGCCAUCCCGUCAAUAGUGAAGUCUCUCGCCUGUAAUGAGAAAGUGAGAGUCUGAGGAAAGUGCAGGAAAUCCUCAUCAAGGCAAACAACUUGAGAACAGUGGACAUUUAGCGAAUUUUGUAUAGAGAACAGGAAAAAAAAAGAGAAGAAACAGUGCGAUUGAAUUCCUCCCAUUUGCACACUGGCGAGUGUCUCUCAAAUGUAUCCCGAGAGGAGUGAGAGUGUUGUGUUUGGAUGAUCGGGGAGUAUUUAACGAUUUAAAUAUAAAUUAAUUAGGGGAGACGCCGAGAAGUGUGUGCUUGGAAAGUAAACCGAUGAAACAGAUGUAAUCUUCGAAAUUACACCCAAGUUCGCUCAAAUCGUGUGACGCUCAGCAGUUUCCAGCUAAAAAUAUUCCGCGAGAGGAAGGAACACAAGAGCAAAGGGAAAGCCAGGCUGCAGUGAUCGGGAGGAUGACCAGGCGGGUGCUGUCUCCAGGCCACAAUGUGAAGUUCAAUGCAGUGCAGUGUGUUUGCCAUUGGCAAGAGUAAUUGCAAAAUUGUGUUGUGCGGCUGGUGUGAGAAUAUUUUUUUAUUCGCCGCAAAGGCUGUUCGUGGACCGCUGAAGGCGAUUUUUAGAACAAUUCACAAGAGUCACAGAGACCAUAAAUAAUUGUUGGGUGCAUAAUUGGCAUAGUUGGUCCUCUCUCUCCCUCUCGCUCAACCCCCUUUUGGUGGACACUUAAAUCUCCUGCACCACGAGUGGCAAAUAUGACCCGAAUAUAUGUGAAAAUAUCGAAUGACAAAUUGAGCGGAGCGACCGAGUGCUGGGACGGCACCACGGCGACCACCAUCUCGAUGAGGAGUACCAGGAAGAUGAAGAAAACUCACGUUUCAGCAAUGGGCUUCAUAUUGCUGCUGCUGACGGUGCUCGUGGAUUUGACCUCGGCGAGCUGGUGGCAACUCCCGAUCAUCCCCUUUUACUACUCACACGGCGGAUUGCACAGUGAACCGUCACAGAAGUUGGUCAGAAGUCAACUGUGCAACAAUUACGAGAACUCCUCAUUCGACGUCCGCCGAUUGUGUGCCAUCAGCAAUAAAGCCAUUGAGAUUGUUGUGCGAGGAGCAAGGAUCGGCAUGGAGGAGUGUCAGUAUCAAUUCCGUCACAGCAGAUGGAAUUGCACAGCAACGCCCAAUUCUACGUCGCUCUACGGCGAAGUUCCGCUGACCAAGAGUCGCGAAACUGCCUACAUUCACGCCAUCAACGCCGCAGCUCUGGCAUGGUCCAUGACCCAGGCUUGCUCCAAAGGUGAACUCACAGAGUGCGGCUGCGAUAACACCAAGCGGAAGCGGAAGAAAAAGUGGCAAUGGGGCGGAUGCUCAGACGACAUCAACUUUGGCGUGCAAUUCUCGCGGAGGUUCAUCGACAUCGAGGAGGACAACAGCACAGAGACUGGCCUCAUGAAUCUGCACAACAACGAAGCUGGCAGGAGAGCUCUGCGCUCCAGGAUGUAUCUCAUGUGCAAAUGUCACGGAAUGUCGGGCUCGUGCACAACCAAAGUCUGCUGGAAGCGCAUGCCGACCAUGCGUGUGGUCAGCGAGGCUCUGGGGCAGCUCUACGAUGGAGCAUCUCACGUGAAGUUUAUCUCUCGCGGAACAAAGCCACCAAAGCUGAAACCCAAAGAACUCGAUCACAAGAAGAUCAUGAAGACAGGAUUGGUGUACUUGGAGGAAUCUUCUGACUACUGUGAACGCAACGAAGAGCUGGGCAUUCUUGGGACACGCGGCCGCCUGUGCAAUCGAACAUCGCCGGGCAUCGACGGAUGUCGUCUCCUGUGCUGCGGCCGUGGCUACCAGACGCGCGUCCGACAUGUGGAGGAGAAGUGCAACUGCCAAUUCGUGUGGUGCUGCAAAGUCAAGUGCGACAUGUGCAAUCACACGCGAGAGGAGCACAUCUGUAAUUAAGAGCGCAAGAGCCAAAAAAUCCAUUGUGACAAUUCAGCAUAGUUGGGUUAUUCUUUGAGUUAAGGAAGAAGAAGGAAAAAAAAUGUAUUAACUUUCUCAUUUUUAUCAUGUGUAGUACGCUGUAUAUAUAUUUAUAGAACUUCCUUUGUGAGAUAUAAGUUAUUUAUUGCCAAUAUGGCGGAUCACUUCGAUGCAUCUUUGACUUCAUACCGGAUAAAGUACUACUUACAUUAGCUUUACACAUCUCCUUAGAGCACACGCGCACUUCAUAUCGAAAGGCACUUUGCGAAUAGACACGUUUUCCCCUCUUAGUUCGCCUGAUCUUAGAUCUUUAGCCUGCAGUAUAAGUACUUAAAAAGUUUCGAUGAAAUGGAGUAGAAAAGUCGAAAAUUUCGUAUUAGAUUUUACCUUCAUUUUCUCACAUGGUUAUCGAAUUCCGUGAAAAACUACUCAAAUCCUGAUUAAAUUACCCGAACGACGAUCAACCGCGAUUUCACUCCAGAAAGACAUGUUCAUCCCUCAAUUGAAAGAAACUGUUUUCUUCUUGUUCAUCGGACUGGAGAAUUCGUAAUAAUUGAAGAAAAAUACCAAAGCUUCACUCAUUUUUUUAUACACACUAAGAAAACAAGUAAGAGAAGAGAAACUAAAAAAUAGACAUAGUAGUUAUAACUAGAAAAUAGCGAGGAAGCAAGUUAAAUAAGUAUUAAAAAAAAAGAAAGAAUGAAAUUGGAAAGGAGAUAAAACAAUAAGGAAAAAAAAUACUAAAUUAUGCAAUUAAUACUCAGAAAAUAGUAUUCAUGGAUUAGAAUUCCGCUUCGAAAAAAAACACAGAGAGAAUAAAAAAAAACCGUGUAGAUGUAUAAAAAUGGAUGUAAUUAAAGUAAUUUAUUGUGUAACCUUCAAUUUAAGAUAGCAAUUUUAGCGAUGAAAACCACGGAGAAAGCACAAUUUUCUGAAAAUAUUAGAAAGAAAAGAAAAAUCAAAGGCUGAUGAAGUUUUUUCCAAUGUGAAGUAUUUCGUAUUGAAUUUGUCUCCAAUAGACAUCAUAAACGCAUUUAAAAGUAUGAUGAUGAAAAAUUUGUGUAUGAGAUGUAGUAAUAAAAGUUUCAAAUCAGAUAAUAAACGGUUUCUCUACUCGAGCAGCAAUUUGUAUGCGAAGCGUGGGGAUGUUCAGCCGGGUAGCUGACAGCAUCUCUGAUGUCAUUGCAUAACCUCAAAGUCGCGCUGAUUGAAUUGCACUCGAGCCUCAGUAAUCCGAGUAAUCCCUAAUUUUUCCUCAAUGUUCUCGUGAUUCCAGUGAGUGCAACGGCAAACAAAAGUCCCACAUGUCUAAGACAAUGGAUGAAGAGGAGGAAAUCGAUAUAAUUGGGGAUUACGAGAGAGAAAUCUCAAAUAUCAGCUCCGGGCAGAUACUCUCCUGCGAGUACACUGUGCAUCCCCGGUGGCUCACGGACAAUGCGGACUUGUGGGCAGAUAGCAGUGGAAAGGAG